GUACUUAUGCUUGUGCCUCCGGGACGCGCGCGGGCGGUUGUCCCGGCUCUUUAGUGACGGGAGGAUGGGGUUCUGCGGCGCCCUUAGUUGACCCGGUGGUGCAGGGUAGGGAAGGUCCGGACAGUAAAGAGCCAAGUUCGAGCUCCGAAGACUCCCGGUGCCCCGAGAUGGUGGCAUGGGAGGUGUAACGGUCGGUGAUGAUGGUGAGAGGAGAGAGUGCUGCAACUCUGGGGAAAACAAGUCAGCUCUUUCGUGGAGCUGGUGCACGUGGCCCCUCCUUCACAUCGUAUUGCUACAGCCUUAGCCCAGACACUUUCCCUCCAAGCAUCGCAAGAGUUUCUUCUAUGGGCUGCCUCGCCCAUUCCUCGCUGUGGACUGGAUGAGUUACUGUCGGUUCUCGGCUGAAAAGUCUAGACGGAAUCCUCGAGAUCCCGCUUCCUUUACACAGGGUCGCCCCCACCAGCCGCCUGGGUUCCAGUUUAGCCUUGCCGACGACUUGCUCUGCCUGGCAUGUCCUUCCUGUCAAAUGUCACAUCUAUGAAGCCUCACCCUAAAACCCUGUAAGCACAAGCCCCUCUUUCACCUACAUGCCCAUUAGCCUAUAUUUGCACAUCUUGGAUUUUAUUCAUUUUGCUUCCUAACCUGGUUAACUGCCUAGUAUGUAACAACAUAAAUGUGAGUUAAUAAGACUAUUAAAGGGUAGAUUUGUUAAGAGCCAAAAUGCUGAGCUAGUUCUGGGCACAUAAUGGAUAAUGCUUUUUUUUUUGGAUGAUAGAAUGGAUGAAUCAUCU
rnacentral:lncRNA from 1 species